GGUCGGGGGCCUAGAGCAGCGGUUGCACUUAGUUGCGGCUGCUGUCACAAUGUCCCGCGUUUUGGUGCCUUGCCAUGUGAAAGGCUCCGUAGCCCUCCAGGUGGGCGACGUGCGGACCUCCCAAGGCCGGCCUGGCGUGCUGGUCAUCGAUGUCACCUUCCCCAGCGUCGCUCCCUUCGAGUUGCAGGAAAUCACGUUUAAGAAUUACUACACAGCUUUUUUGAGCAUCCGUGUCCGUCAGUACACCUCAGCACACACACCUGCCAAGUGGGUGACCUGCCUGCGGGACUACUGCCUAAUGCCUGACCCACACAGUGAGGAGGGAGCCCAGGAGUAUGUAUCGCUGUUCAAGUAUCAGAUGCUGUGUGACAUGGCUAGAGUAUCGGAGCUACGCCUGAUUCUGCGGCAGCCAUCACCACUGUGGCUGUCUUUCACAGUGGAGGAGCUGCAGAUCUAUCAGCAGGGACCAAAGAGCCCCUCCGUGACCUUUCCCAAGUGGCUCUCCCACCCAGUGCCCUGUGAGCAACCUGCACUCCUCCGUGAGCUGGAGGGCCCCUAGCCCAGGUUGGCCUCUCUGGAGCCCGAAGGGCACUGCUGGGGAGAGACCCAUGGCCACUGACCCCUCCUUCUGGAGCAGGGUCUCCCAGACCCCAGCAGGGUAUCCUCCGAGGUGCAGCAGAUGUGGGCACUGACAGAGAUGAUCCGGGCCAGUCACACCUCUGCAAGGAUCGGCCGCUUUGAU
rnacentral:sRNA from 1 species